UCCCUAUCCGCUGCGGGCGUAGGAAAUUUGAGAGGCGCUGUCCUUAGUACGAGAGGACCGGGAUGGACUGACCUCUGGUGCACCAGUUGUUCCGCCAGGAGCACAGCUGGGUAGCUAUGUCGGGAAGGGAUAAACACUGAAAGCAUCUAAGUGUGAAGCCCACCUCAAGAUUAGAUUUCCCUUAGCGUAAGCUAUAAGACCCCUUGAAGACUACAAGGUUGAUAGGUGAGAGGUGUAAGUGUGGUAACAUAUUUAGCUGACUCAUACUAAUAGGUCGAGGACUUGACCAA
rfam:Clostridium proteolyticum DSM 3090 genome assembly, contig: EJ39DRAFT_scaffold00035.35